AGAGUUUGAUCAUGGCUCAGGAUGAACGCUAGCUACAGGCUUAACACAUGCAAGUCGAGGGGAAACGACAUCGAAAGCUUGCUUUUGAUGGGCGUCGACCGGCGCACGGGUGAGUAACGCGUAUCCAACCUGCCCACCACUUGGGGAUAACCUUGCGAAAGUAAGACUAAUACCCAAUGACGUCUCUAGAAGACAUCUGAAGGAGAUUAAAGAUUUAUCGGUGAUGGAUGGGGAUGCGUCUGAUUAGCUUGUUGGCGGGGUAACGCCCACAAGGCGACGAUCAGUAGGGGUUCUGAGAGGAACGGUCCCCCACAUUGGAAACUGAGACACGGUCCAAACUUCCGACGGGAGGCA
rnacentral:rRNA from 1 species